UACGUAGGGGGCAAGCGUUGUCCGGAAUCAUUGGGCGUAAAGCGCGUGUAGGCGGCUUGGUAAGUCUGCUCUGAAAGCCCGGGGCUCAACCCCGGGAGGCGGGUGGAUACUGUCAAGCUUGAGUCCGGAAGAGGAGUGUGGAAUUCCUGGUGUAGCGGUGAAAUGCGCAGAUAUCAGGAGGAACACCAAUGGCGAAGGCAGCACUCUGGGACGUGACUGACGCUGAGACGCGAAAGCGUGGGGAGCAAACAGG
rnacentral:rRNA from 1 species